CCAUCCACCACCACAGCAUCAUGUCUUGCUACAGCUCCCAGCAUAUCCUGCCUAGCCCCCAUCCCCCAACAUGACUGCAUUACAAAUAAGGCUAGAAAAGGAACAGCAAAAUCAGGUGCUCCGCUGAAGAUAAGCAGAACAAUAAACGAUGAAAGGAUACCCUCUUUAAGGUCGUUACUGAAGUCUGGAUCUCUAGCCCGUCAGUGCUGACCCUGGGGCUAGCCUCACAUCUGCAGCAUUCAGUCCCUGACGGGCCAUGGAGCACGCCAAAGGGAGGAACAAGAAAAUGGGAGCUACCACACUUGAUCAGACCCAUGGUCCAUCUGACUGUGGCCAGGACCAGAUGUUUCAGAGGAAGGUGCAAGCAACUGCAUAGUGCAAAAGCAUCGAAUAAUCUGUCUGAAAGGAAAAGGAGGACUUGUGGCACCUUAGAGACUAACCAAUUUAUUUGAGCAUAAGCUUUCUGAAAGGACGGUUCUUCCUAAAUCCCCAUCAGUUAGGCACUGUCUGAUGGCCUGAACCAUUAUGGUGUUUAUAUCCUUCAUUUAAUAAAAAAAAGUUUAAUCCUGUCAAA